GCAGGCGGGUCAGGGACGGGGCUGCGGUUUGCCGGGUGGGAGCUGCUGCGGACACUAGGGGCGCCCACGCCGCGUGGCGCCUGCAGGAUAACGUGGCGUGGGCCCAGCACUCCCAAGAGGCCUGGUUGCGUGGGGCUGUCCCGCUCUGACCCCCAAUAGCCAAGCCCCUGCCCCAUGCCUCCCCAUCGGCCUCCACACAGGGGGUUGCAGCGUCACUCGCUCAAAUUUGGCAUAGCUGUGUCCUGCCCCCUCCCGCACCCCCGGUCGGGGAGGCUGGGCCAAACCUGAGCAACACCGUGCCCCAGGGCCAGCUUGCAACGCGCGUAGGUCCAGCCGGGCCCAUGGGGCAGGAGCCACCACAGAGGGGCACGCUGUAAAAGGCAUCUGCUUGAGAACAUCUCUGGAGAAGGCUGAGGGUCUGCAACCUAGUUGCUGAAGAUGGUAGUUGGCACAGAUGAUUUGAAUGCCGCUGAGAUUGAAUUGAAUUGUUAAUUAUACAUUCUUCCGGCUCUCCCGGGCCAUCGCCACCAGCCCUAUUGUCUUUGCCUUCCAUUUCAUCAGCAAGAGUUGGCUCCAUGCCUCUGAGCAGCAUUCUUGCGGGAGGGGACAAUGGAUGCAGAGCAGUUAGUGGCUGGCCUCUUGAUGAGUUACCACGCUGAUAUCCAUGCUAUUCCAGCAGCAGUCUUUCAGAUGUGGCAAGCUUGGAAGCCACCUACCUACCGACACUUCUGCCUCUGAUUGCCCCGUGUGCUCUGCCAUAUGACGACGGUGUAUAGAAAGAGUCGCUUUCUUUUAGCACUGAACAAAGAACUUAAACAGAAGAAUAAGGAAAACAGAAUUAUCCCUACCUUACCUUCUCUCUCUGCUACACCAGAGAGCAUCUGCCUAUAAUUUCCCCUAGUACCCCUCCUGCCUGGUUUCUUGCUUUAGUUUUAAAGAAACAGUACACACAUCCUCACCACAUUCUUGCCUGUCAUUUAUUUCCUUUGUUCUCUGUCUUUUCACAGCCACAUAUUCAAUGUCUAGAAGUCCCAUUAGUCCAAAGCUACAGUCAGUGGCCAGUAGAGGAAAAGAUGAUACAGGGGGUAUAUGGCCAGAAUCUCCCGCUCUUUUGGCUGGGCUUGAGGGUCCCUUACUCACAGCUGAAUCUGUGCCUCUCAACUCAGGCCAUGCACAAUCCUUCUAGCAUAAGUUGUUUCCGGGGUAGGGAAUAGGCUAUAAAGCCAUUUCCCUCUAGAUCAAUGCUUUUCAACCUUUUUUUAUUUGUGGACCCCUAAACAAUUUUGAAUGGAGGUACAUACACCUUUGGAAAUCUUAGACAUAGUCUGUGGACCCCACCUUUCCCCUCCCCCUGAGGUCUGUAGACCAGAGGUUGAAAACAACUGUUCUGUGAUAACGACAACCUUUCGGAGACCCCUUAGACAUAGUCUAUGGCCUCCAACCACAGGUUGAAAUCCACUGCUUUAGAUUGUUAGUUCAAAAACAGCCUAGCAAUUAGUAUCAGCAAGUCAUUAUCAGCUGGAGGCGAUUGAGUGACCUACAUGAAAUGAAUUAGUGAUCUCAGUCCAGUUCUUGGUGGACAAGCUGUGAUGGAUUUGGAGCUGCCUGUAAUAAUGUAUGAAUUGUAUACGUUUGUCGGACUGUUGUAGCUGUGUUGGUCCCAGGAUAUUGGGAGACAAAGUGGGGGAGGUCGUAGCUUUUAUUGGACCAACAUCCGUUGGUGAAACAGACAAGCUUUUAAGCUACACAGAGCUCUUCCUCGGGUCAAGUCUGACUGUUGUAAGAAGGGGUUAUAGUGUGAAUACAAGGGGUUAAUUCAAGAAGAGGUUGGCUGCACAUAUGCAGGAAAGAGGACGAUGGCUUUAGAUAGCCACCCAUUUCCCUCUCUCCCUCCCCCCCACAUUGCUAGAGCCAGCCAUUUUGAAGUGUCACCUUUGACACCCUGCUGAGCUCAGUGGACCAGUUCAUCAAGGGUGUGGGCAAGGGGUCCCUGAUUGUAGGAUCCAAGCCCCGGAAAAUUGGGACAAAGGACUGUUUGGGGUAAAAAGUUCUCAAUCAGGAAGGGGAUGGUUGCUGAUGACGAGUGGUUCUCAAACAGAAACCUGGGAAAAGUUUAGCCUACCUAAGACUCCAGGUAAGAGAGCUGUGUGAAGAUCUUUAGUUGCUUUAAAAAUCCUUUCCCCUUAUGUUGUGCUGUGUUUCUACAGUUAAGAUUAAACAAUACUUCGUUUUGAGAGUGCUGUUUUGGGUCUCUGUAUUCACUGUUGGUCACAGCUCCUAAGAGGAAGAACCAGAGGCGCCCAAGUCCAGUCACGUGUUGAGUAAUCCUGAUUGGUACAUGCGUUACAGUAGUUAAGGACCCAAUCUAGGAGCAGGAGGAUCAUGGGAUUUCACCCUAAGAGCGAUGAAAGCACAAGGCCAGAAACCUGAAGGGGUGCACUGAGACUGUAGAAGUGCAGCUAGCUCUGUAACCGUGAGACAAGCAUCUACAUAAGGAAAAAUACUGUUCCCUCUUCUUCCAAUAUUAUUGUCCCUUGUGGUGGCAGAUGUCUGGGACUUGCUGUUUGGCUUCCCAGUCCUGGAACAGAGGUUGACACAAACAACAUGCAGGCAAUACCUUCUUUCAGGAGUCUCUGCCCAACACCAAUGCCGAGGGAGCAGCUCUGCCUCAAGAACUAACUCUAACCAGAGCCCAAGGCAGAGAGCAAAUUCCACUGUUGCUUGCACAAGCUCUACCUCCAAGGACCACUGCCUCUACAGAGACCCUUGAAUAACUUCAAGCUAACAACAACCAAGCAUGUCUUCCCAGGACUGAACAUUUGCUUGCAUACUUAGAAAAAGAACUUGGAAGACUAUGUGUAACAGCACCACAUGACACCUACGAUAACAAUAUUGCCAUAACUGGCAGAGAGAGGUCAGAGAUGACUGAAUGGGCCUGGAGACUGAACCCUCUCACUCCUAGGACGGGGCAUGUUACCAGGGCUGUAGAGGGGAAGCUUGCACUGUUAGUGGCCAUCCUGUACCCUGCAGAUGAGAUCCCUGACUGGUGCAAAUCGAUACAGCUUCACUGAAGUCAGUGGAAGUUUGCUGAUUUAUACCAUUAGGGGAUCUGACCUAUUUCUUAGA